rnacentral:rRNA from 1 species
AGCAGUCGCCGCGGUAAUACGAAGGGGGCUAGCGUUGCUCGGAAUUACUGGGCGUAAAGGGCGCGUAGGCGGAUGAUUAAGUUGGGGGUGAAAGCCCGGGGCUCAACCUCGGAACUGCCUUCAAUACUGGUCAUCUUGAGUACGGGAGAGGUGUGUGGAACUCCGAGUGUAGAGGUGAAAUUCGUAGAUACUCGGAAGAACACCAGUGGCGAAGGCGACACACUGGCCCGUUACUGACGCUGAGGCGCGAAAGCGUGGGGAGCAAACAGGAUUAGAUACCCGCGUAGUCCCUGUCUCUUAUAC